AGCCUGAUGCAGCCAUGCCGCGUGUAUGAAGAAGGCCUUCGGGUUGUAAAGUACAAUCAGCAGUGAGGAAGGUGGAGGCGUUAAUAGCGCAUUCAUUUGACGUUAGCUGCAGAAGAAGCACCGGCUAACUCCGUGCCAGCAGCCGCGGUAAUACGGAGGGUGCGAGCGUUAAUCGGAAUUACUGGGCGUAAAGCGCAUGCAGGUGGUUUGUUAAGUCAGAUGUGAAAGCCCGGGGCUCAACCUCGGAAUUGCAUUUGAAACUGGCAGACUAGAGUACUGUAGAGGGGGGUAGAAUUUCAGGUGUAGCGGUGAAAUGCGUAGAGAUCUGAAGGAAUACCGGUGGCGAAGGCGGCCCCCUGGACAGAUACUGACACUCAGAUGCGAAAGCGUGGGGAGCAAACAGGAUUAGAUACCCUGGUAGUCCACGCCGUAAACGAUGUCUACUUGGAGGUUGUGGCCUUGAGCCGUGGCUUUCGGAGCUAACGCGUUAAGUAGACCGCCUGG
rnacentral:rRNA from 1 species